GUGUAUUCAGUACAGAUCACUUAGGAGACAGUCCUGGCAUCCUGGGUAGAAUUUCCUGUCAGUGGAGCAAUUACAGUGCUGUAUUUGAGUUUCUGUCACGUAGCAGCAGGGAAUGGCCAUUACGUUCGUCAGUAGCGCUUUUUCACAUUAGGGACCAAUCUCAUCACUGGGAUAUGAAAACUCUUUCAGUCAGUGGCAGUAAAAAGAUGUUUGUCAUAAAUGAAAUGUAUUUUCAUAACCAGUGAUGUGUUUUUAAUUAUCUAGAUUCCUGGGAUGAUUCUGCUGAAAUAGAAUUAACAACAUCAGUUGAAUAAACACAAGAUCUUCAGAAGAACUCUUCAUUGUAAUUAAUUUGCAAGUGUCUGGAUCCUGUUAUUAUAAUAACUUUUUAUUGGAAUCUGAUGGUUGCCUGUUUGACCUUUGGUAGAAGCCAUGUAGGUGGAGAGUACAUUUUCAAAUACUCAUCAACUCUGAAGUAGAAUGAGAGGACUCCUGUACUGGCUGUACAGACAGAAACAGACACUGUGAAAGUAGAGGAACAGGGAACCUGAAGCUGCAGUGGUAGAUCGUGGGGAGAAGAGGACAUGGAUAACUGCAUAAAUCACUGAAACCUCAGGAGGACUGUCUACCCUUCAAAAUCUGUUAUGUUAUACCCAGCCACUCUCAGUAGGUUGCAGAAAGAGGACAUACAUAUAAUCACAAUAUGUCUUCAGAGGGCUUCCUAAAAAAAGAAAAUAAAUUGGAUCUAUUGGCAAGGGCUAGGACUACUCAGAAAACAGCCAGCAGGAGGAGCUCUCUAGACAUCUCGGUUGAUCACUUUUCAGUCCCUCAUAUCUGCACGUUUCAAGGGCAUCACCUUAGAGCUACUUUCUUGGGACUUCCUUGCAGACAAACCAGCAGCAGCAGAAGACACAGACAACCUCCUGGUAUUGCUGCUGAGCAGCUCCAGUGAUUUUUUUGAGGCUUCUCAGGUUCCUUUUUCCACAGUUGUUCAUUCAGAAACUUCAAGUGUUCAUGAAAACCUUUGGGCUUCUUUUUGGCCCCUUCCAAGUGUUUUAUCUACCAAGGAAGCAAAUAUAAGAUUUUAUGGACAGCAUCCUAACCACAAAGUAAAGAAUUCCAAAGUGAUGCUUGCCUUUGCGAAGAAAGAUAUCCUGCUAGAUUCCUCACAACUUCACAAGGGGACCUCUAAGCAAAAAAAUGCAUCAGCACAACUCUGAAUACUGGUAUUACAAAGCUAUUCAAAUAAUUCUGCCUCCUUGUGUAUAGUUCAUCUUUUUAUUCUGUGAGAAGCAGGUCUGGAGGACAGUAGUCGUACUCUGUUCUCCUCAGUUAGGUACAAAGUCUCACCCUGCUUCUUAGGUCCAGGCCUGCAGCUCUGAAUUGCCUGGGCCCCAUGACCAUGUCUCUGCCCUGGAUCUUAAAAAGAAUUCAGAUUUUUUUUUAUGUGGUGGGCUCUGUGCUUUUGUAAAUCUGGCCCUCAUUUAGUUAUCUAACUGAGAACUAGGUGCCUUCUGGUCUUGAAUGUUGCUGUAAUAGUUAUUUUGAUCCUGAAUAAACCAGAAACUAUUCUAAUGCA
ensembl:lncRNA